CUUAAAUCGCAGAACAAGAGAGUAAACAUUUGGAUAUCGAUAGCGAAUUAGGGAUGGUGGAAGCCUAAUGGAUGAAAUAUGUUGAACCGCACUUGGGAGAUGUUUAUCUGAACAAAGAGUAGGAUAAACCGCAAACCUAGCGUUACAGGAGAGAGGUCAUAUGAAUAACAUAUGGCAAUUAGAGUGGUACCGCGUUUAACACGUCUCUAGA
rnacentral:ncRNA from 1 species